rnacentral:lncRNA from 1 species
CACAGCCCCUGAAAACAAACAGGGCUCCAGUGGGGAAGGAGGGUGUCGACCAGGCCCAACACUACCUCAGGACCCUAAGCAGCCCUGAACUGGGCGCAGGGAGGAAGAGAUCUCCAGAGGCAGCCAACGACUCGGCAGCCAGCAGCUCCAGCAGAGCAAACACCUGUUUCCAGGAAGAAUCGCUACCAGAGGAAAAGGGAGUCCCGAGGAAAGGCAGAGAGGGCGAGGUGAAGGGGCAGCUGGGGACGCAGGCAUGCAGGGACCCAACAAGGUCUGAAUCUCAAACACAGAAUAUACGUCAGAGAGAGACAGCCAGCAGACGGCUGAGAGAGAUGAAGGGCGAAAUGUCGCCGAAGGCACCCACUAAAGAUUCAUGAGAACGUUUUGGUGUCAUUUCCAUUUAACUAGCCAGGAGAUUGCUGACCAAGAGUCCUCAGCUGUGGUCACACCAGUGUGUGUCUAUCAAAUUGCUACCGUGACUUACAGUUGGCAUCUUUGGGUCCAAGGCUGAGAGAGCAUCU